rnacentral:rRNA from 1 species
CCUACGGGGGGCUGCAGUGGGGAAUAUUGGACAAUGGGGGGAACCCUGAUGCAGCCAUGCCGCGUGUGUGAAGAAGGCCCUCGGGUUGUAAAGCACUUUCAGUGAGGAAGAACGCCUGGUGGUUAAUCCCCCUCAGGAAAGACAUCACUCACAGAAGAAGCCCCGGCUAACUCCGUGCCAGCAGCCGCGGUAAUACGGAGGGUGCGAGCGUUAAUCGGAAUUACUGGGCGUAAAGCGCGCGUAGGUGGCUUGAUAAGCCGGUUGUGAAAGCCCCGGGCUCAACCUGGGAACGGCAUCCGGAACUGUCAAACUAGAGGUCAAGAGAGGAAGGGAGAAUUCCCGGGGUUGCGGGGAAAAUCGGAGGGUACGGGAGGAAAACCAGUGGGCAAGGCGGCCUUCUGGACUUACAAUGACACGGGGGUGCGGAAGCUUGGGUAGGAAACAGGAUUAGAUACCCGGGUAGUC